GUGCUCACAUAUAUACUAAAAUGGGAAUGAUGCAGAAAUUGGCACAGUCCAUAUACACGGGUGACAUGCAAAUUUGUGAAGCAUUCCAUACUUUU
rnacentral:snRNA from 14 species